UACGAAGGGGGCUAGCGUUGCUCGGAAUCACUGGGCGUAAAGGGUGCGUAGGCGGGUUUUUAAGUCAGGGGUGAAAUCCUGGAGCUCAACUCCAGAACUGCCCUUUGAUACUGAAGAUCUCGAGUCCGGGAGAGGUGAGUGGAACUGCGAGUGUAGAGGUGAAAUUCGUAGAUAUUCGCAAGAACACCAGUGGCGAAGGCGGCUCACUGGCCCGGUACUGACGCUGAGGCACGAAAGCGUGGGGAGCAAACAGGG
rnacentral:rRNA from 1 species